AGACGUAGGGGGCGAGCGUUGCUCGGAAUCACUGGGCUUAAAGGGCGCGUAGGCGGUUAUGCAAGUCCAGGGUAGAAGGCGGAGGCUCAACCUCCGUAAUGCCUUGGAGACUGCAUAACUUGAGUAAGCGAGGGGAGGGCGGAAUUCCCGGUGUAGCGGUGAAAUGCGUAGAUAUCGGGAGGAAGGCCUGUGGCGAAGGCGGCCCUCUGGCGCUUGACUGACGCUGAGGCGCGAAAGCGUGGGGAGCAAACAGGAUUAGAAACCCCAGUAGUCC
rnacentral:rRNA from 1 species